GACGAACGCUGGCGGCGUGCUUAACACAUGCAAGUCGAACGAUGAACCCGGAGCUUGCUCUGGGGGAUUAGUGGCGAACGGGUGAGUAACACGUGAGUAACCUGCCCUGGACUCUGGGAUAAGCGUUGGAAACGACGUCUAAUACCGGAUAGGACCUUGGAUCGCAUGAUCUGGGGUGGAAAGUUUUUUCGGUCUGGGAUGGACUCGCGGCCUAUCAGCUUGUUGGUGAGGUAAUGGCUCACCAAGGCGUCGACGGGUAGCCGGCCUGAGAGGGUGACCGGCCACACUGGGACUGAGACACGGCCCAGACUCCUACGGGAGGCAGCAGUGGGGAAUAUUGCACAAUGGGCGAAAGCCGGAUGCAGCAACGCCGCGUGCGGGAUGACGGCCUUCGGGUUGUAAACCGCUUUUAGUAGGGAAGAAGGGCUUCGGCUUGACGGUACCUGCAGAAAAAGGACCGGCUAACUACGU
rnacentral:rRNA from 1 species